rnacentral:rRNA from 1 species
UACGUAGGGUGCGAGCGUUAAUCGGAAUUACUGGGCGUAAAGAGUGCGCAGGCGGCUAAGCAAGUCGAGUGUGAAAGCCCCGGGCUUAACUUGGGAAUUGCGCUCGAAACUACUUUGCUGGAGUGUGGCAGAGGAAGGUGGAAUUCCACGUGUAGCGGUGAAAUGCGUAGAGAUGUGGAGGAACACCAAUGGCGAAGGCAGCCUUCUGGGCCAACACUGACGCUCAUGCACGAAAGCGUGGGGAGCAAACAGG